rnacentral:rRNA from 1 species
AGAGUUUGAUCCUGGCUCAGAGCGAACGCUGGCGGCGUGGAUAAGGCAUGCAAGUCGAGCGAUCUUUCAAAGCAAUUUGACGGAUAGCGGCAAACGGGUGCGUAACGCGCAGGAAACCUACCCUAAUACACGGGAUAGCCCUUCGAAAGAGGGAGUAAUACCGUAUAUGCUCAUAGUAUCGCAUGAUACAUUGAGGAAAGGUGGCGAAGGCGAAAGCCUGCUAUUGUGUUAGAAGGGUCCUACGCCCCAUCAGCUUGUUGGUAGGGUAACGGCCUACCAAGGCUAUUGACGGGUAGCUGGCCUGAGAGGGUGGCCAGCCACACUGGGACUGAGACACUGCCCAGACUCCUACGGGAGGCUGCAGUCGAGGAUAUUUGGCAAUGGACGCAAGUCUGACCAUGCGACGCCGCGUGCGGGAUGAAGGCUUUCGGGUCGUAAACCGCUGUUACGAGGGAAGAAGAUUGGUGAUUCGAACAGGAUUGCUAAUUUGACGGUACCUCGAGAGAAAGCCACGGCUAACUCCGUGCCAGCAGCCGCGGUAAUACGGAGGUGGCAAGCGUUGCUCGGAUUUACUGGGUGUAAAGGGCACGUAGGCGGUUUUGUAAGCCUUAUCUGAAAGGCCAUGGCUUAACCAUGGUUCGUGGUAGGGUACUGCAAAACUCGAGGAUAGGAGAGGCAAGCGGAAUUCCCGGUGUAAGGGUGAAAUCUGUAGAUAUCGGGAGGAACACCAGUGGCGAAGGCGGCUUGCUAGCCUAUAUCUGACGCUCAUGUGCGAAAGCUAGGGGAGCAAACAGGAUUAGAUACCCUGGUAGUCCUAGCCGUAAACGAUGGACACUAGGUGUUGGUCCUUUUUAGGAUCAGUGCCGCAGCUAACGCGUUAAGUGUCCCACCUGAGGAGUACGGCCGCAAGGUUGAAACUCAAAGGAAUUGACGGGGGCCAGCACAAGCGGUGGAACAUGUGGUUUAAUUCGAUGCUACUCGAAGAACCUUACCCAGGCUUGACAUGUAGGAAGUAGGAACCUUAAAGGGGGACGACUCGUAACCAGUCGAGAACUUACACAGGAGCUGCAUGGCUGUCGUCAGCUCGUGCCGUGAGGUGUUGGCUUAAGUGCCAAAACGAGCGCAACCAUUGCUGAUAGUUGCCACCGGGACCCGAAAGGGUUGCCGAGCACUCUAUUGGGACUGCCAGCGAUGAGCUGGAGGAAGGUGGUGAUGACGUCAGGUCAGUAUGGCCCUUAUGCCUGGGGCUACACACGUGUUACAAUGGGAUAUACAGCGCGCAGCAAAUUCGUGAGAGCUAGCUAAUCGCUCAAAGUAUCCCCCAAUUCGGAUUGAAGGCUGCAACUCGCCUUCAUGAAGCCGGAAUCGCUAGUAAUGGCGGAUCAGCAAGCCGCCGUGAAUACGUUCCCUGGCCUUGUACACACCGCCCGUCAAGCGAUAGAAGCCGGGAGCACCCGAAGAUGGUGUACCAACCCGCAAGGGAGGAAGCUUUCGAAGGUGAGACUGGUGACUGGCGCUAAGUCGUAACAAGGUA